rnacentral:rRNA from 1 species
GCAGCCUGCAACUCGGCUGCAUGAAGCUGGAAUCGCUAGUAAUCGCGGAUCAGAAUGCCGCGGUGAAUACGUUCCCGGGUCUUGUACACACCGCCCGUCACACCAUGGGAGUCGGGAAUGCCCGAAGUCAGUGACCCAACCGAAAGGGGGGAGCUGCCGAAGGCAGGCCUGGUAACUGGGGUGAAGUCGUAACAAGGUAGC